GUAAACUUGAAACAUAUAUGAACAACAUUCCCACAGCGGUGCUGUUGUAGUUAGACAGCACAUAAAUUGAAUCUAUUGAAAAGAAAACCACCUCUAUUUCAUACAGAAUAACAGACAACAAAAGGAUCAGUGCUAAUUAACAGACACAUGAACAGGCAGCAACCCAAUUAAGGAGAUCCCUCACAAACCCUUAAAAUAAAUAAAGAGAGAGAACAGCAAAAGCAAAAGGGUUGCGCCAGAAUGAAUACAAAUGAUAAAAGCGCGUGACAAACAUUUUUUUCCCACAAACGUUUGCCACGAACUCCUGGAAGCUGGCCUCCUGCCCACCAACUAUGGUCGAGGUCUGAGACACCGUUUGGGAGUUGCCCUGCCCAGUCGCCAUUAGUAACUUUCCCUGCGUGCUCCUAGUCCUACAUGUGAAUGCAACCGAACGCUAGCUCCCUGGCGGACGUUCACAUGAAGCAAACCAUAAAUAGUGCUUAGCAGUACUUAGUUGCGACCGCUAUGAAACUACUUUCGGCAUGACGGCUUUGUGGGUUCCCAGUCACCUUUAGGGACUUAGCCGUGAAUGUUAUGAAACUGUUUUCGGUAUGAGGUGGCCGUGCUGUUCCCAGACAACUUGGUUCGUGGUUUUGAACCUUUUUAAAAAAAAAAAAAAAUCCACCAGAAGAGAGCUUUUUCGAGGGAAGGUGUCUGAGACUAAGGGGAACAACCGCUACCUAAAAUCCAGGUGGUACAUCCCGUAAGUUGGGCAUAGGACCACGUGUGCGGCCGGUCAGAACUUUAACAUAGGGGUGUAUACCCUACAUUGCAUGGAUCUGUGCACUGUUUGGAGAACUUGGGCGCUCAGAUCAGGGCUAUUUGGGGAUGUAUUAUUUGUGGGGUUAUUGUAUAUUUUUAUGAUGUUUUGGGGUAUUGUUAUGUUAUAUGUUUACUUCUCUGUUACUGGGAGAUAAUUAGCUUACCGAUCUUUAACGCAAUUAUCUCCCACGCCCAGAGACUCCUGGGAGGGACUUGUGCUGAAUACAAUGGAGACUCCCUGCUGGGGUCUGUGCAUAAAAGGCAAAGUUUGGCUGAUUAAAAUCCGUUGUACUCCCAGCACUAUGUGUCAUCUAUUUACUAGGGGAGGGAAGG